AAUCCGUGUUGUGGGCAUUAACGGAGUAAACCUUUGUAUAGUUCCCAAGCCUCUGAAUAGCAUUCUGAGUCCUAUUGUUGAAAAGUAGUAAUAUCAUCCCCUAGCUU
rnacentral:snoRNA from 1 species